rnacentral:tRNA from 1 species
AGUUGCUUGUCCUGGGGACUUUUUGUCUUGAAAACAGAAUGGGAGUGUUCGAAUCACUUAGUGACUU